rnacentral:rRNA from 1 species
AUUGAACGCUGGCGGCAGGCCUAACACAUGCAAGUCGAGCGGAUGAAGAGAGCUUGCUCUCUGAUUUAGCGGCGGACGGGUGAGUAAUGCCUAGGAAUCUGCCUGGUAGUGGGGGAUAACGUUCCGAAAGGAACGCUAAUACCGCGUACGUCCUACGGGAGAAAGCAGGGGACCUUCGGGCCUUGCGCUAUCAGAUGAGCCUAGGUCGGAUUAGCUAGUUGGUGAGGUAAUGGCUCACCAAGGCGACGAUCCGUAACUGGUCUGAGAGGAUGAUCAGUCACACUGGAACUGAGACACGGUCCAGACUCCUACGGGAGGCAGCAGUGGGGAAUAUUGGACAAUGGGCGAAAGCCUGAUCCAGCCAUGCCGCGUGUGUGAAGAAGGUCUUCGGAUUGUAAAGCACUUUAAGUUGGGAGGGAGGGCAGUAAGUUAAUACCUUGCUGUUUUGACGUUACCGACAGAAUAAGCACCGGCUAACUUCGUGCCAGCCGCCGCGGUAA